rnacentral:rRNA from 1 species
AUUGAACGCUAGCGGGAUGCUUUACACAUGCAAGUCGAACGGCAGCGCGGACUUCGGUCUGGCGGCGAGUGGCGAACGGGUGAGUAAUGUAUCGGAACGUGCCCAGUAGCGGGGGAUAACUACGCGAAGGCGUAGCUAAUACCGCAUACGCCCUACGGGGGAAAGCAGGGGAUCGUAAGACCUUGCACUAUUGGAGCGGCCGAUAUCGGAUUAGCUAGUUGGUGAGGUAACGGCUCACCAAGGCGACGAUCCGUAGCUGGUUUGAGAGGACGACCAGCCACACUGGGACUGAGACACGGCCCAGACUCCUACGGGAGGCAGCAGUGGGGAAUUUUGGACAAUGGGGGCAACCCUGAUCCAGCCAUCCCGCGUGUGCAAUGAAGGCCUUCGGGUUGUAAAGCACUUUUGGCAGGAAAGAAACGUCGCGGGCUAAUACCCCGUGGAACUGACGGUACCUGCAGAAUAAGCACCGGCUAACUACGUG